rnacentral:rRNA from 1 species
GGAGAAGCGCGAGACUAGUACAUGCAGUCGAACGCGUUGGCCCAAUUGAUUGAUGGUGCUUGCACCUGAUUGAUUUUGGUCGCCAACGAGUGGCGGACGGGUGAGUAACACGUAGGUAACCUGCCCAGAAGCGGGGGACAACAUUUGGAAACAGAUGCUAAUACCGCAUAACAACGUUGUUCGCAUGAACAACGCUUAAAAGAUGGCUUCUCGCUAUCACUUCUGGAUGGACCUGCGGUGCAUUAGCUUGUUGGUGGGGUAAUGGCCUACCAAGGCGAUGAUGCAUAGCCGAGUUGAGAGACUGAUCGGCCACAAUGGGACUGAGACACGGCCCAUACUCCUACGGGAGGCAGCAGUAGGGAAUCUUCCACAAUGGGCGCAAGCCUGAUGGAGCAACACCGCGUGAGUGAAGAAGGGUUUCGGCUCGUAAAGCUCUGUUGUUAAAGAAGAACACGUAUGAGAGUAACUGUUCAUACGUUGACGGUAUUUAACCAGAAAGUCACGGCUAACUACGUGCCAGCAGCCGCGGUAAUACGUAGGUGGCAAGCGUUAUCCGGAUUUAUUGGGCGUAAAGAGAGUGCAGGCGGUUUUCUAAGUCUGAUGUGAAAGCCUUCGGCUUAACCGGAGAAGUGCAUCGGAAACUGGAUAACUUGAGUGCAGAAGAGGGUAGUGGAACUCCAUGUGUAGCGGUGGAAUGCGUAGAUAUAUGGAAGAACACCAGUGGCGAAGCGGCUACCUGGUCUGCAACUGACGCUGAGACUCGAAAGCAUGGGUAGCGAACAAGGAUUAGAUACCCUGGUAGGUCCAUGCCGUUAAACGGAU